rnacentral:rRNA from 1 species
CCUACGGGUGGCAGCAGUGAGGAAUAUUGGUCAAUGGGCGGGAGCCUGAACCAGCCAAGUCGCGUGAGGGAAGACGGUCCUAUGGAUUGUAAACCUCUUUUGUCAGGGAGCAAUGCCGGGCACGCGUGCCCGUAGGUAGAGUACCCGCAGAAUAAGCAUCGGCUAACUCCGUGCAAGCGGCCGCGGUAUUACGGAGGAUGCGACCGUUAUCGGAUUUUAUUGGGUUUAAAGGGUGGUUAGGGGGAUUUUUAAGUCAGAGGUAAAAUUUCCGGACUAACCGCGGGCCGGCAGUUGAAACUGGGGAUCUUGAGUGGGCGAGAGGUAUGCGGAAUGCGUGGUGUAGCGGUGAAAUGCAUAGAUAUCACGCAGAACUCCGAUUGCGAAGGCAGCAUAC